UCUUUCUCUUUCCUUCUCGUUCUUCUUCUUUCUUCUUCUCUUUUCUCUUCUUCUCUUGUUCUUCCUUCUCUGGCAAAUUCGAGAGAUCAAAUGGAGGAUUUGUGACCGUUAAGAGGUAGAGAAGAUCUUGGAGUAGUGGUAGUGAUGAUGUUGUUAUCUGUUGUUGAUUCAAAUUCGAAGAAGGUAAUGAAUUAUGAGUUAGGGUUUCAGUUGAGGCUCAAAGAAGAAUUAGAAGAUGAAGAUGACAAUUUAGGGGAUUGAAUUAAGUUGGGUUUACCACGAAUUAGAAUAUAAGGUUGAAUAGUGAUUUGAAUUUGAUAGUAGGGUUUUUGAGUUUGAUUAAGAGAUGAGUUCGAAGAUGAAAUUAAACUCAGAGAAGAUGAAAUUGAUGUUCAAGAGGGAUGAUUGAAGAUGGGUUUUGUGUAUUGCACGUAAAGGAGAAGAGUUAGUAUCUGAUUUUCGAUUCACAGAAAAGAAUUGAAGAAUUAGGGUUUAUGUGUUCUUCCCCAAAAUUAAUUAGGGUUUCAGUGGAAUUGGUUUGGUGAACUAGCAAUUCAAAGGAAGCUAGUGAAUGGGUAAGUUUCUAUUUUGUUUAAGUUCUGUAUUUAGUGUUAAAUUGUGUAUAAUCUGAUGUAGUUGAAAAAUGGGAUGAGUUUAAGGAAGAUAUAAUACUGUUGUUGUUAUUUUUGGAUGAGUGGGUAAUUCCAAGAGAUGGGAUUGGGUAACAUGGUUGUAGUUAGUCUUUAUUAGAGAUGAUAUAAGUAUUUCUUGUGAAAAUGUACUGGUGGUGGUAAUGGAAUUGGUUAAGCUGUAUUGGGUUGUACUGAACUGAGUAAGGGAAUGAUGUUGUAGUCUGAGAAGGUAGUGGUAAUGAAAUAAAUAAUGAAGCUAUAGUUGUGACUAUCAGGAAGAGGAAAGAUGGAAUUGCAGGAUAGUGAUGAAGCUGCAGUUUAUGAGAUUGGUGUAGUUUAGAUGAGAUGAUGACAGUGAAGUGGUAAGAAUAUAAUGAAUUGGUGGUGAAUGAAUAUGAAGAAGUUAUAAGCUGAGUUCCAGGAAUGUAAUGUGAGGUUAAGUUAUGAUGUGUGGGUUUGUGUUUUGAUUUGUAAUUAAGGAUGUUAUGUCUGGAAUGGGAGUUAUAAACUGAAAGAGAAGUAAAUUGUGUUGGUGAACUGUGGAUGUUGGAUUAAGUUACAGAAGGUGUUAUUGCUGGAAUGAAGAUUAGCGAUGGUGAUUGUAGGAUUAUAGAUAGUGACUCAGUGUUGGCUUGCAACUACUGCACUUUUAGGUAAGCUAGAUUUAUAUUUGUAUUUAAAUUAUGAAGUUUAACUGAAUUGAGUAGUUGCAAAUGAAGGUUUAGUUGGAAUUGCAGUUGAAGUAAGUGGCGUUGUAAUACUGAGAAUGGUGAUUGUAAAGUUGUAAAUAGUGAUUGUUGUGAAAGCUUGGAACUGCUGAAUUGCAGGUGUUUUUUGGAGAAAUAAGUAUUUACGACGAGAAUGAUGAAAUGGGGUUGGCCUGGUACUUCCAUGUAUCAGCAACCAGUCUAGUUACCAUGACAAUAUAAAGGAGUCGAAAUGUUGUCGUGAACUGAAAAGGCUAAAUUUCACUGACACUGGUUGGCACGGUCAAAAGGUGAACAAAUACGUCAAGAGCUUCAUUUCUUAAGCAAGCAGGUGGUGUUUCAUCAUUAAGAGAAAGGUGGAUGUGGCUAACUCCCCACCAUAUGCCAGAACAUACAAGCCACAUUUCGUCAUCUGUGAAGGAGAAAGAAAUUCUUAUUACUCAUCAACGUUCGAGCUGGUGGUUCUCUAAAAGAAAGGAGUUUUGAGCAUUUUCUUGGAAAGAAUUCGAAGCAGCUGCCAUUAUUCACUCGCACCCAAAUCUUUCUCAUCAUGUCAGCUGCCAUGGAGAUGGAGUCGAGUUGGUGGUGUUGCCAUGCUCAUGGUUGUGAACUGAAAUGCAACAACAACGAUGAAACUGUGAUUCAGCUGUUGAAGGCAGUGAAUGAAUAAGGUAUUUACGCUGAGAAGAUGGGUUGGCUGAGAUUAAGCUGCUAUGAUCAGUUGUGUUCGAUAAUGAAGCGAUGGAGAAAGCUGUUGGCUUUAAUAGUUUUCAUGGGUGAAAGCAGUAAGGAGAUGAAGAGUUCACUGCCGUUGAUGUUGGCAGCUAAUGCGGAGUUCUCAGUGGGUCAUUUUGAUAUGAGCUUGUGCAACCAGUCAGGAACGAGAUGCAGCUCAGAGAAUAGAAACAACUGGUGGCAGUGGUGGUUAAACAAGUCUGCAGACGUAAUGGAGAUGGACUGUCUGCCAACUGAUUUGAGUUCGACAUGGAGGAUCCCGUGUCCAAGGUGGGGAUGCAGAUAACGAUUGCAUGGCAUUUAAUGGCCUUCUGUCAAACACCUCAACUUGGUGUUGCUCUUUUCGGAUUGAACGGAUUGUUGUUAGUGCUGAUGGAGCUGUUGUUGAUGGCUGAGCUAUGGGAAGUCGAUGAACCAAUGGUGGAACUGGUUGCAAGUUGCAACUGACAAGAUGUAGAAGGUCAGGGAAUGGAAAGAGAUGUUGCUGCCGCCUGCCGGUUAACAAGAAGGAGCUGUGGUCGAGAACUGUUGAAGCAGAAUAUACCUCGGUGCACGAGACCGGAGUUGGCUGUAGUAAUCGAUAAUAAAGGAGAAAUAAAGAGCUCGAGUCUGUGUGACAGUUGAGCAAGUUUGGCAGUUGAGUUUUCGUGACAAAACAGGAAGUCUAUGAUAUCGGUGAUGAUGGCUAUCGUUCGAGACAGCGUGAAAAUAGAGUUGCGGCCAUGCUCGGGAAAGAACUGGUUUCGAAAUCAGUAUCUGGUAAUGGCCUGAAGAUUGGUGUUUUAUGUAGUCUGAAACUGGAGUUAAUUGAGAACACCCGGCAACAUGGAGAAGUGGUGUUGGCUCGAGUGUUAUAGGCUCGUGUAAAGUGUUAGGAAAGCAAAGAGAUAGAGUUUACCAAGGAGGUUGAGCAUGAAUGUGAAUCUGUGAAGAUUUCGGCGAAGAUUCAGCUGGAAUUUUAAGCCGAGAAAACAGCAAAGAGUACUCGUAUAUCCGGUGGUUUUGUGGUGAUGUCAGGUGGUCAGGUAUAGGAAGUCGUGGUCGGAUCUUGGUAAUGGGUCUGAAUUUGGAAGCUGGUAAUGGACCCGAAUGGACUGGGCCUUGGAAAAUGUUGCUAGGUCUUAUGUUGUAUUCUUUCGCAGCACUAUAAAAAAAAGAAAAAAAAAUGCGAACAAGGGGAGGAGGCGAGAGCCGUAGACAGAGAAGAAGGAAGGAAGGGAGGCUGCUGAUUUUGCGGCUUCACAGCCGUUUACGGUUUGAAGUUUUGUUUCAAUUCUGUUUUUCGAUUAGCUAUUGAUUUUAUUUGAUAUUUGUUUAUGGCUUUUGAGAAAGCCAUGUCUAACUAGAUCCAUAUUAGGGUUUAGGUAGAAACCAAUUCAAUUGUGUACUUUCUACGAUGAUAUUUUUAACAAUGAUUUGAUUGAUUAGUAUUUUCACUUCA